GCGAAGGUGGUGGAAUUGGUAGACACGCUAGACUAAGGAUCUAGUGGGGUAACUCCUGUGAGGGUUCGAGUCCCUCCCUUCGCA
rnacentral:tRNA from 1 species